GAGGAGAAGGAAAAUAAUGAGUUUUCGAAAAUAAUUUUUUAUUUUUUAUUUUUUGCCGGGUUUGAUUCAAACAAGGUUACACUUCAUCCACCUCUCUCCCCUCUUCCCAUAUCAACCGUGAUCAGCUGCAACCAAAACCACAGCAACCAACCAUUUUCUCGUGGCGUUGAAGUUACGGUUUUAUUCACGGCAUGGGAGACAUUAAAAGCUAAUUAACCUAGCUAAAGUACUGUAAGAGAGAGAAAGCCCUCUUCCCCUUUUCUUUCUUUUUCCUCUUCUGCCGCCCUCCGCCCUCCCCCCUCCUUGCUUCCCUCCACUCAGGCAGCCUCCACCUCUUAUCUCCCCCAUCUUCUUCCCUCCUCCUCCUUAAAGAGCUGCGAUCUCCCACUCUCCAUAUUAUUUUUGGACUCAAGAGUCAAAUCUAAAGUUCUAGAUCUGGUUUCUUGGAACCAGUUUAGUGACGGCGGUGGCGGCAUCUGCAUCGAGUCAUCCAGGAGAGUUUGCUCUGUGUCCAUACUCGGUCACUCCAGACUUGGCCACUUCAACCCCAGUGUGAUCGACGGAUCCGACUCCAACUUCGGAGUCUUGGUUCCAGACAGCUUUUCUUUUUAUUUUGUUCGAUCUUUUUGUUUUGUUUUGUUUGUUUGUUUAUUUUGUUUUGUUUGUCAUUUUUUCUAUAUUUCCAGACCGGUAAUGUC